UUGCUUUAGCAGCAUAUAUACUAAAGUUGGAAUGAUACAGGAAAUAUUAGUAUGAUCCCAGCACAAAGAUGACAUGCAAAUUCAUGAAGCAUUCAAUAUUUUU